AUACGUAGGGGGCGAACGUUGUCCGGAUUUAUUGGGCGUAAAGGGUACGCAGGCGGCCAUAUAAGUCAGAUGUGAAAGGCCAAGGCUUAACCUUGGUUAGCAUUUGAAACUGUGUGGCUUGAGUUAAGGAGAGGAAAGUGGAAUUCCUGGUGUAGCGGUGAAAUGCGUAGAUAUCAGGAGGAAUACCAGUGGCGAAGGCGACUUUCUGGACUUAUACUGACGCUGAGGUACGAAAGCGUGGGGAGCAAACAGGAUUAGAUACCCUGGUAGUCCACGCCGUAAACGAUGAGUGCUAGGUGUCGGGGGUCAAACCUCGGUGCCGCAGCUAACGCAUUAAGCACUCCGCCUGGGGAGUACGUUCGCAAGAAUGAA
rnacentral:rRNA from 1 species